UGAGAUCUUUCGGCACAAGACCCUAGGCUUUCCAUGACCUGACCCUAAUCCAGUCUUCCGAAUCCUUCUCUUGCCCUUCCUCCCAGUAAACCCUGCACUCUGGUUCAACAGAACUGUUCACUCUCCUACUUUUCAGAUCCUGUCUUUGCUUUUGUCAUUUGCCUUCCCCAGGGUUCCCUUGACCCUCAUAUUUCCCAUUAAAUAUCCCAUCUGUUAUUACUCCCUAAUUUGNNNNNNNNNNNNNNNNNNNNNNNNNNNNNNNNNNNNNNNNNNNNNACUUCUUUCCAACUUCCCUCUCUACGGUUUUCCCUAGCUAAGUCAAUCUAAGUUCAUCCCUCCAGUGACUCAGGCCAAAACCUUGUCUUCCUGUCACGUCUGACUCCAUAUCGUACCCCACAGCCAAUCCAUUAGUGAAUCUCACUGUCACUAUGUUCAAAACAUGGUAGAAUCUGACCUUUUCUCAUCGUUUCCCCUGUUCCACUCUGGUCCAAGCUAAAAUCAUCUCUCACCUCGAUUAAUAAUAAAAAUUGCUAAAUGACUCAGCAUAGAAAGUGGUUCUGCAAACCCUCCCUAAAAUACUCAUUUCUCAUUCCUCCUCACUGAAGAUAAUUUUCCCUGAGAAAGUCUUCAGAUUGUUAGUGAGUCACUUCCAGUCUUAUCUUUUUCUAGAAAGGUAUUGAUGCAGAUGACCCAGAAAAGAAAUAGGGGUGCAGAAGAGCUCUCCCAAAUCCCACAGUGGGGACUUGGAUUGCUACACAGAGUGGUUAUUCUUUGGCAGUUCACAGGAUUCUUAACGAGACCUGAAUUGCCCGUUUUUGCUCAGAACAAAAUAGUACUGUUCCACGAAGUGUGUUUAUUUUUCAUGUGGACACAAUGUGUAGAGUGGGCAUUCGCAUUUAUUUAAGGGCCAAAUGAGCUGAUCUUGGUAAUAUCACCCUUCCUGCCCAUACCUGAUCCUGGAACCCAGAUGAAAGCACAUGAAGGAAAGGUGUCUGGAGGCUUCUGCAAAAUCUUGCUUUNNNNNNNNNCAAGAGACACAGGAAGAUGGAAAUCUUUUCUUCCUCUCUGUCAGGGUUUCUCAGCCUGAGCACUGUUGACAUUUGGGGUCAUCUGUCAUGGGGACUGCCCUGUAUGUGAAGAAUGCUUAGCAGCAAUACUAGCCUCUACCCACUGGACGCCAGUAGCAUCUCUUCAGUUGUCAGAAUCAACAACAUCUCCAGACAUUGCCAAACACUGUCUCCUGUGGGUGGAUUACCCCAAGUUGGGAACCACUGCCCUAAACGUCAGAUUUAUUCCCAGACUGCCACAGGUUCUCUCAAUA
rnacentral:lncRNA from 1 species